AUGCCUAGAGGAAAAAAGGAACACUUCAAUUUCAGCCAUUCUUCACUUAGAAAUGUCAUCGAGAGGUGUUUUGGAGUCUUGAAGAACAAGUGGAGGAUUUUGUUUCACUUACCAAGUUAUCCACAACAGAAACAAAGCAAAAUCAUUGUGGCUUGCAUUGCAUUGCACAAUUUUAUUAGAGAAAGUCAACUAGCUGAUAUAGAUUUCGACAAGUGUGAUCAAGAUGAAAAUUAUAUACCAUUGCCUGUGCCAACGACCACUCCAACAAAUGAUUCAACCAAUGAGAUGGAUAGUGCUGCUAUGAAUCAAUUUAGAAAUUGGGUCGCUGAUGGGUUGUGGAGCUUGAAACAGCAAUAA
rnacentral:rRNA from 1 species